GACGAACGCUGGCGGCGUGCUUAACACAUGCAAGUCGAACGGGGACGCUCCAGCUUGCUGGAGUGGGUCAGUGGCGAACGGGUGAGUAACACGUGAGCAACCUGCCCCUGGCUCUGGGAUAAGCGCUGGAAACGGCGUCUAAUACUGGAUACGAGGGGGGUCCGCAUUGGCACUUUCUGGGAAAGUUUUCGGUUCGGGAUGGUCUGGCGGCCUGUCGGCGUGUUGGUGAGGUCAUGGCUCACCAAGGCGACGACGGGUAGCCGGCCUGAGAGGGCGACCGGCCACACUGGGACUGAGAGACGGCCCAGACUGCUACGGGAGGCAGCAGUGGGGAAUAGUGCAGAAUGGGCGAAAGCCUGAUGCAGCGGCGCCGCGUGGGGGAUGACGGCCUUCGGGUUGGAAACCACUUUCAGCAGGGAAGAAGCGAGGGUGACGGUACCUGCAGAAGAAGCACCGGCUAACUACGUG
rnacentral:rRNA from 1 species